GUCGUCAUAAAAUGAUUGGAGGAAUGUAGCUUUGGUCUCGUAUCGAAGUGUUAUAGCUCUGGUAGAUGUGACGAUUGGGAUUGAGGAUUGCAACGGAUACCCCUUCGGGGCUACCGUCUGAUCUCUGAAGGUUGCUCCGGUACCGAAAGCGUGCUUACGGUCAUCGAAAGUGAUUUCAAAAGGUUAGAACGGGUUAAAUUCGUUAAGGAUGUUGACGUAAUGGCUUUAAACGA
rnacentral:rRNA from 1 species